ensembl:ncRNA C04C3.10 ncRNA
AAUUUAGAAGUUUUGGGGUUACUGUAGCUCCAGUUCUGUGCGAACACCGAUCAAUGCACCAGACCUUACGACAAAAUGCACAGA